rnacentral:lncRNA from 1 species
UUAAAUGCUUUAAAAUAUAUAAAAAUAAUCAAACGUAAAUAUCUUAAAUAGUUAAAAUAUACUCAAAACUCCAAAAAUACUUAAAUAAUUAUUAAUUCUCUAUCCAAAUAUUUAAACCAAACCUAUUUAAAUUGGUUAUCUAAAUCCGAACAAAAUCUUCAAAGAUCUGAACUGAACACGAAAUCUCAAAAAGACCUGAAA